AUCUAUCUAUAUAUCUAUCUAUCUAUCUAUCUAUCUAUCUAUCUAUCUAUCUAUCUAUCUAUUUAUCUAUCCAUCAGUCCAUCCAUCUAUCUAUCCAUCCAUCCAAUCCAUCCAUCCAUCCAUCUACCCUUCCUCUUCUCCACCGCGCACGAUCGACUUUGACGUUGGAAGGGAAUUGAUACCAACUGGUGGUGCCGUUCUUGUUCAAACAACGACACGACGGUGGUAGCGGUGGUAUAAUAGUUGCGGUUGUAGUGGUGGUAGUGAUGGUUGGUGAUUGGUAGUAGUAAUAGUGGUGGUAACGGCGGCACUGGUGGUGGUAGUGCUGGUGUUCUUGGUGGUGGUGCCCCGUGUAGGUACGUCGGGAACGUACGUGUCGACAGUGCUCGGCGCAGCGUCGACCGGUGACUGAAAAAAACGUCGAACAUCCUCGUCGUCGAGUCGUAAACGCAUGCGCGAGCUCGCCACCUCGUGACCUCCAACCUCCUCUUUCUCCUCCCUCGAGAAGAUCCAAAGAUCCUCCUCCUGCCUCUGCCUCUGCUUUUCCUUUCGCCCCUCUCUAUAUCUCUGUCUCUUUCUAUACUUCAUCACCUCAGAUGCUUCAUCCUCUUUUCUUCUCUUAAAACACCUCCUUCUCUCUGGACAGUACUCGAGAGGGAGAGAGAGGGAGGAGAGUACUAUCUCAGCGAGUCCUUGAGAUCUUUCUCUUCUUUUUCUUUUUCUUCUUCUACUUCUUCCAAUCCUCGCUUUCGCUUUCUUCGACAACUAAGCGUCGCGCGUAACCUUCUGCCUUUACCUGAAAUCACCUGUUCGCUACGUUUAUCGUACAUUGAAAUUUCAUGCGACACAGCUUUGAUAAAGCGGAAGCGAGGAAUGGUCCACGUCUAAUAAGAGUGCAUCGCAUUAAAACUGGAGCCCCUGGUAUCCUCGAGCAACGAGCGAGAGCGAGAGAUUCUCCUCCGAUCACCGCGUCAGAGUAUGCGUGUUCGUCUAUUUUCGGCUGGAAUCCGUAACGUGGCUUUUCGAGCCGCGAAUCGUUGUACCGUGAUUCUCGACGAUGCCAGAGGUUCCUCGAUAAUCAACGCCUAACAAAUCUCGAGUCAAGCGCGAUAAAGAGCGGGGAAGCACUUUCGACUACAGGGAGAAGAAACGGAGGAAGAAAGGAAAAAGUAAUACAUACGUACCUCCGUGGAACUAUCGUGAUAGUGCAACAACGCUCUCACCAUCUCCGCUACGGAGCUCGGUACCUUUGACAAAGGUUCCUUGAACGAUGAAAGAAGAC